rnacentral:misc_RNA from 1 species
GUGCAGGUUUCUUUGUUUUUCUUAAUUUCUCUGUCGAGAAAGAUCACCAUCGCCUCCUCCUCCCUAUCUUCGAAUACAUACGCAUACACACAUACGCCACAUAGAGGUGUGCGUCUACGUGUACAUGCAUGCCUCCAAGCACGCACACACACGCUCGAGCGGCCCCCGUACCGAAGCCAAACUGUCGCCACAUUUGCUCGUCAUCUCCUUCGUUACCUGCGAAACACCGUAACUUCGUGGCGCACAAGUGUGACCGCGCACCGGUUCACCGGAUGGAGUCACGCGAUGCGCCUGCCAUGGCCUCAGUGGACGGCGGCACCGAUGGAGCCGUUCCCCACGAUUGCGAGGACACAGUACCUCCUCCGGCAAAACCCUCUGCACGCACCAACGAGACAGAGAAAGAUCUGCAGCUGCGUCGACUGAGGCGCGAAAAUCAUCUCCUGCGGCUGCAACUUCUCAAGCUGCGCGAGCAGCAGCAUCAGUUACUGGCUAACACCAGUGCAGCGGCAGUUUGUCCUGUCUCUGAUAGUGCUUUAGCCGUAUCAGACGUUGCAGAAGCGGCGCCGCAGCAGGCGCGUUCCGACAUAAUAGACGAAGAAGCCACAGCCCUACGCACCCGCAUGCUGCAACGGAUAAGGGAAAGGCAGCAGCGCACCGCAGUGGCGCGGUCGCUACUGCGCGACGCCGAGCAGCUGUACAGCGAGCUCCCUCAGCAAGAGCAACUUGAGGCAGAGCGGGGUAACUCAAGCGGCACGGCCACGCCGGUCUCGCCCGCGUCUCCACCUGUAAAGGCGGCGCCGGCGCAGUCGAUGCAGACGGCAGCAGCGCCACCAUCACCGGCCCCACCGCCGCUGGCACCGGCGGCAAAGCUCGACAUCAUCGAGGACGGCUGCGAUCAAAUAGAUCAGCGGCAUGCCCUGCUGGCCAGCCCUUCCUCAGCGACGGCUUCGCGAGCGCCGGCUGACAAGUCCGCCUCCUCCGGCGCGCACGCUGCUGAAGACUUGUCGGCUGAGGCGAUGCUGCAGCGCUUUCAGGACCGCAAAUCGCAGCGCCGGCUGCGGCUGGAGCAGAUGUUGGGCCCCAUUUACGAUGCGGCAGGCAGCGGUGCCGCUGGGCCGAGCCGUGAAAAUGACAGCACAGAAACAGCGCCUCUCGGUGCCGUGCCGCGGGGCGCAGGUGCCGGACAAGGUGGAGAAGGGGCGCAGCCCCCUCUCAACCGCAGCGUGGCAGCGUGGGAUGGCAGGGGGAAGAGGAUCGACAGUGGCACAAGACGCGGCAGGGAAAAUGGCCACAAGAACGCUGCGGCAACUGCUACAUCCGCUUACAGUGGGCCUACGAGGAACCCGAAUCAAAUUGGCCGUGCCGUGAGCGACGCUGUGAAGAAUAACAGCUGGUACCUCUGCAAGGUGCUGGAGGCGGCGCUGCUUGACACAAUUCAAGCGCGACCGGCAAACGACGCAGCCGCGCCGGCGUUGUCGUCCUCGCCGGAGAAGCACCUUCCACACGGCUCGCAUUCGAGAGCGACGUCUUUUGCGGAGAUGCCAUCGUCCUCCUCCUCGUCCGCCUCAGCCUCUUCCCUGCUGGGUCCUCAUUCCGACGGGUGUGCUGCCGGCGGCACCUCUGGCUCCACCGGCUCCACGACGCUGACGACCGGAACCGCCUCUGUACUCCCGCAGCCAGAGUCGAUGGCGGCCGCUCCAACCUCCGUAAAGGUCCCCCAACUGCUCUACCCCAAGGGCGUGAGUGGCACGGCGCUGAAGCGAGCCAUUGAGGAGUCGCUGCUCCUGCCCUUUCGCUGCGUGCAAGACGCCCCACGGCGCUUGACGUCGUCGCAGGCGGCGGAGGAGAGUUUGCCGGCGUUCGAGGCAGAGAACCGUGACGCAGAGCUGCGCCGCUGCUUCGCGGAGGGCGCCGGCAAGGAUGCGUUGCUCAGCAGCGGUGCGCGUCGCGACGACGACCUAGGAAGCACCGCAGCCGGAAACGACGACGAAGAGGCUCCAGAGAGGGAGAGCGACAUGCUCGGCGCCCACGACGACAACCUCGACCCGUUUGCCCGUCUACUGCUCGCUCGUCUCUCCACCGAUCUACCUUCGAAGACCACCAAGUCAGACUGGACAGGCAAGCACCUGUCGCGCUACGGCAGCGGCAAGGAUGGGGCCAAGCAGUCGUCAUUAGCGUCCCGCAACGCGUCUGCUGCAUCCAGCCCCACAAACUCCAAAGCCGGCGUCGCCUUCGUGGCAGCGGCCAGCGGUGACCGCCGCGUGCACGUCCCCAAGAAGCACUUCAGUCGCCUUGACGAGGUGCAGGUCGAGAUGCACGCGCCGGUUAUCUUCAACCAAAUUCGCGACUUUCUGCGCAUGGACGUUGAACGCUUCCGCCGCUCCUUUGCACCAACCUCGUCGGCGUCGCAGUCCGAUGCGGACAGCGGUGAAGGGGCAGACCGUCUGCGCUGGCGCGCAGCACAGACGCAGCAGCGUCUCCGUGUCGGCUCCUCAGCUGGUGCGGACGAGACAACUGCGUGGCGCAUCACUGUGUCGCCUGGCAAGAGCGGGACAACCUUGCUGUACUUCAGCGACUUUGUAAUGAAGACGGUUCGGCCCAGAGAGAUGGAGUUUCUUCUACGGAAGUUCCUGCCGGCGUAUGUGCGUUAUUGCGAGCGCAACCCGCAUACGCUGCUGCCGCGCUUCUACGCGCUGGCGACGCUGCGGUGGUGGAAGGCGGGAGUGGUGCAGCACUUUGUCCUUAUGCAGAAUGUCUUUGCGACGCCGUACUACAUUCACCGCAUCUACGAUGUGAAGGGCAGCACAGUGAACCGGACGGCGCUCCAGCCGGGCAAACCGCCGCCGCGUACGGCCUUCGGCGCCCUCCUGCUCAAGGAUAACGAUCUACCUCCGCAGCUCAUCAUCUGCGGCACGUAUCAGCGCGCCAUCGUGCUUGCCCAGCUACGCUCCGACGUUGGCUUCUUGCGCCAGCUCAACGUGGUGGACUACAGCUGCAUGAUCGGUGUCCGUAGUCGCCUCUUCUCAAGCGAAGAGGGUCCCUCCAAGACGCUCCUGCUCCUGCGCCGGCAGCACCACGACGGCCACGUGAGCACCCUCGGCAGCAGCGCUGUCGCGACACAGGGGCACAUCGGACAAACCUGCAGUGAGGCCAUGUACGCGACUGACAAAACGGCUGCCGCGGACGGGGCGGGCAUUAGCGUGGGGGCAAUGGAACCGACGCUGCCGCCGUUCUCCGUUGAUGCGCAACGAAGCGACUGUGACGAUGAUGUCUACGUCUGCAUCCACGGAUGUGACGGUGGAUUGCUGUCGUUACCGAUCCACACUUCUGGUGACGACACGACCGCGCGUGAGGAGGUGUAUUACCUUGGCAUCAUCGAUGUGCUGCAGACAUACAACUCGGUCAAGAAGUUGGAGAGCUUUGCGAAGGGCUUCGUCAACGAUCGGCGUGCCAUCAGCGUGAUUGCGCCGGAUAAGUAUGCAGAGAGGCUGUACAAGGUUCUGGAACGCAUCACAGUGUAGUCACCCUCCCUCCCUCCCCUUCCCUCUUCCCUCGCACUUAUGUAUCGCGGAUGAAUGCAGGAUGGCGCAGGUCUUUUGCGUGUUUGCUUCCUCUUCGUGAAUUUGUUGGUUUAUCUUCCACAACCACCAUCUCUCUCUCCGCCCCCCUAACCCUUUCGGUGUACGUGAGGUGCAGCGCCGCCUCUGCUUCUCUUGACGCGGUGACCCUCACUCCUCUCCACCGCGCGCCACCGCUGCGGUGGCGCGCGCAGCCUUCCUGCCUCUGUCUCCUGUGGCCCCGCCCUCUCCCAUAUUCUCUUCGGCCUGAUGCAUUUUUGUUGCCUUCUCGUCUCUCUCUCACAGAUGACUCAAGCGGCCAUCGCAGCACGCGUGUACGCAUGCUUGUGGGCGCGCGCACCCGUUCUUCUUUCACGCUUCGACAGACUUCCUUUUAUUGCAUGCUCGUUCGAUGGGGGGCCACCGCUGUGCGCCGCGGCAUUUGUCCCUGUGCUCAUGCUCUCGUCUGUGUCCUGCGCUUGUGUUUGUGAGCUUCCUCUAUCCUUUUCCCGUCUCGCGUAUCCUGGCUUGCGAAGUCCAUCAAUACUCUCGCCGGUCUCUCCCAUACGCACACACACACACACAAAUCACCGCGACUCUCUUGCAUAUGCAACAGGGGACCUCACCGAACAGUCGUAUUGCGUGCACCCACAUUCCGUGUCUCGCCUUCUGUGUUCGUCGUCGUCGCGGUGGAGGAGGAGGGGAG